rnacentral:rRNA from 1 species
AGAGUUUGAUCAUGGCUCAGAACGAACGCUGGCGGCAGGCCUAACACAUGCAAGUCGAGCGCUCUCUUCGGAGGGAGCGGCGGACGGGUGAGUAACGCGUGGGAACGUACCCUUUUCUACGGAAUAGCCUCGGGAAACUGAGAGUAAUACCGUAUACGCCCUUCGGGGGAAAGAUUUAUCGGAGAAGGAUCGGCCCGCGUUGGAUUAGGUAGUUGGUGGGGUAAUGGCCUACCAAGCCGACGAUCCAUAGCUGGUUUGAGAGGAUGAUCAGCCACACUGGGACUGAGACACGGCCCAGACUCCUACGGGGGGCAGCAGUGAGGAAUAUUCGUCAAUGGGGGCAACCCUGAACGAGCAACGCCGCGUGGAGGAUGAAGGUCUUUGGAUUGUAAACUCCUUUUCUGCGGGAAGAGUAAGGACGGUACCGCAGGAAUAAGUCACGGCUAACUACGUGCCAGCAGCCGCGGUAAUACGUAGGUGGCAAGCGUUAUCCGGAAUUACUGGGCGUAAAGCGCACGCAGGUGGUUGCUUAAGUCUGACGUGAAAGCUCCUGGCUUAACUGGGAGAGGUCGUUGGAAACUGGGUGACUUGAGGCGAUGA